rnacentral:rRNA from 1 species
UACGGGGGGAGCAAGCGUUGUUCGGAUUUACUGGGCGUAAAGGGUGCGUAGGCGGGUUGGUAAGUCCGUGGUGAAAUCUCCGAGCUUAACUCGGAAACUGCCGUGGAUACUAUCAAUCUUGAAUAUCGUGGAGGUAAGCGGAAUAUGUCAUGUAGCGGUGAAAUGCUUAGAUAUGACAUAGAACACCAAUUGCGUAGGCAGCUUACUACACGAUCAUUGACGCUGAGGCACGAAAGCGUGGGGAGCAAACAGG